rnacentral:rRNA from 1 species
GACGAACGCUUGCGGCGUGCUUAACACAUGCAAGUCUAACGGAAAGGCCCUGCUUUUGUGGUGUGCUCGAGUGGCGAACUGGUGAGUAACACGUUAUUAACCUGCCCUUGACUUUGGGAUAACUUCAGGAAACUGGGGCUAAUACCGGAUAGGAGCUCCUGCUGCAUGGUGGGGGUUGGAAAGUUUCGGCGGUUGGGGAUGGACUCGCGGCUUAUCAGCUUGUUGGUGGGGUAGUGGCUUACCAAGGCUUUGACGGGUAGCCGGCCUGAGAGGGUGACCGGCCACAUUGGGACUGAGAUACGGCCCAGACUCCUACGGGAGGCAGCGGUGGGGAAUAUUGCACAAUGGGCGGAAGCCUGAUGCAGCAACGCCGCGUGCGGGAUGACGGCCUUCGGGUUGUAAACCGCUUUCGCCUGUGACGAAGCGUGAGUGACGGUAAUGGGUAAAGAAGCACCGGCUAACUACGUG